rnacentral:rRNA from 1 species
GAUGAACGCUAGCUACAGGCUUAACACAUGCAAGUCGCAGGGUAACGUGAGGGAAGCUUGCUUCCCUUGACAACGACUGGCGCACGGGUGAGUAACGCGUAUCCAACCUUCCCAUGACCACGGGAUAACCCGUUGAAAGACGGACUAAUACCGUAUGACAUCGUUUGCUGACAUCAAAUAACGAUUAAAGGUUUAGCGGUGAUGGAUGGGGAUGCGUCUGAUUAGCUUGUUGGCGGGGUAACGGCCCACCAAGGCGACGAUCAGUAGGGGUUCUGAGAGGAAGGUCCCCCACAUUGGAACUGAGACACGGUCCAAACUCCUACGGGAGGCAGCAGUGAGGAAUAUUGGUCAAUGGGCGAGAGCCUGAACCAGCCAAGUAGCGUGCAGGAUGACGGCCCUAUGGGUUGUAAACUGCUUUUAUGUGGGGAUAAAGUGCGUGACGUGUCAUGCAUUGCAGGUACCACAUGAAUAAGGACCGGCUAAUUCCGUGCCAGCCGCCGCGGUAAAAGGG